GACGAACGCUGGCGGCGUGCCUAAUACAUGCAAGUAGAACGCUGAAGGAGGAGCUUGCUCUUCUGGAUGAGUUGCGAACGGGUGAGUAACGCGUAGGUAACCUGCCUGGUAGUGGGGGAUAACUAUUGGAAACGAUAGCUAAUACCGCAUAAUAACAGUUGUUGCAUGACAACUGUUUGAAAGGUGCAAUUGCAUCACUACCAGAUGGACCUGCGUUGUAUUAGCUAGUUGGUGGGGUAACGGCUCACCAAGGCGACGAUACAUAGCCGACCUGAGAGGGUGAUCGGCCACACUGGGACUGAGACACGGCCCAGACUCCUACGGGAGGCAGCAGUAGGGAAUCUUCGGCAAUGGACGGAAGUCUGACCGAGCAACGCCGCGUGAGUGAAGAAGGUUUUCGGAUCGUAAAGCUCUGUUGUAAGAGAAGAACGAGUGUGAGAGUGGAAAGUUCACACUG
rnacentral:rRNA from 1 species